rnacentral:rRNA from 1 species
CUUUCGGGCUGAGUAGAGCGGCGGACGGGUGAGUAACGCGUAGGAAUCUACCUGGUAGUGGGGGACAACUUGGGGAAACUCAAGCUAAUACCGCAUACGCCCUAAGGGGGAAAGCGGGGGACCUUCGGGCCUCGCGCUAUCGGAUGAGCCUGCGUAGGAUUAGCUAGUUGGUGGGGUAAAGGCCCACCAAGGCGACGAUCCUUAGCUGGUCUGAGAGGAUGAUCAGCCACACUGGAACUGAGACACGGUCCAGACUCCUACGGGAGGCAGCAGUGGGGAAUAUUGCGCAAUGGGCGAAAGCCUGACGCAGCCAUGCCGCGUGUGUGAAGAAGGCCUUAGGGUUGUAAAGCACUUUCAAUUGGGAAGAAAAGUUUGUCGUUAAUAGCGCCAAGCUCUGACAUUACCUUUAGAAGAAGCACCGGCUAACUCCGUGCCAGCAGCCGCGGUAAUACGGAGGGUGCGAGCGUUAAUCGGAAUUACUGGGCGUAAAGCGCGCGUAGGCGGUUUGUUAAGUCAGCUGUG